rnacentral:lncRNA from 1 species
UCUAUUUUAAGGUCCUCCUUGUUCUUGACUGAUUUGGCUUCGGUUAGAGAUUUAGGGUCGGUCUCAUUGGUUUUACUAGUGUGUUCAAUGACCUUCCCACUUCUCAGAGUCAUGAUUGAUUUGGCAUGUUCAGAAAAAGCUUCUGGGGUAUUAGAGCUCUCAAUCACAAAUUGCCCUCUUGGGUUGCUCUCGGGUUGGCUAGGUAAUUUUCUUCCUUCCCUCCUACUGAAUGCAGUCGCUAGUUGACCUAUUUGGGUCUCUAGCUUAGCAAUGGAUUGUGUGUGGGAGUUAAGGGUCUGAGUGUUGACUUCUAAUUGUUCUAGUACUUUCAGAACUUUUUCCUCAAAAGCUGAGCCAUGACCAGUAGUAGACGGUUGAGGAGCAUUUUGAAAUUGAUGGAAUGGUCUAUGCCUAUAUGUUGGGUCCUAAUAUUGAGGUCGAGGUGCAGCAGGGCCAACCACUGGUUGUGGUCUCCAGAAAAAAUUUGGAUGGUUUCUCCAGUCGGGGUUAUAAGUGUUCGAAUAAGGAUCGUUUCCUGAUCUGCGAGCUUGUUGGACUUGAGCUUGCCGAACCUGCUUGUGAACAAACUCAGGAAAUUGAGGUGCAGCUGGGCAUUCACUAACAAAAUGGUUCGGACUUGCACACCAUGUACAAACUUUUUGGAUUGGGUUAGGUGGAAUCGGGGAUUGUCCAGUAUUUAGAAGAUGGUCUAAUUUUUGGGACAGUUCAUCUACCUUACUGUGGAUAUCCAUGAUGUU